rnacentral:rRNA from 1 species
AUGACGAUAAAUAAAAGUCAAGGUCAAUCCCUAAACAAGGUGGGCCUAUAUUUGCCUAAGCAAGUCUUCUGCCAUGGACAACUAUAUGUGGCAUUAUCAAGAGUCACAAACAGAGAAGGAUUAAAGGUGCUGAUCGACGACAAUGAGUGCCCAAGCGAAGAUAGCGCAAAGAAUAUAGUAUACAAAGAGAUCUUCUAA